CUGGUUGAUCCUGCCAGUAGUCAUAUGCUUGUCUCAAAGAUUAAGCCAUGCAUGUCUCAGUGCAAGCCGCAUUAAGGUGAAACCGCGAAAGGCUCAUUAAAUCAGUUGUGGUUCCUUAGAUCGUACCCAAGUUACUUGGAUAACUGUGGUAAUUCUAGAGCUAAUACAUGCCGACAGAGUUCCGACCGUCGCGGCGCCCUCGGGCGUCGCUCGCGGGAGGAACGCUUUUAUUAGAUCAAAACCGGCCCGUCGCGGCGCGCUUCGUGCGCGUCCCGAUCGCGGCCCGCGCAAAGACCUGGUGACUCUGAAUAACUUCGAGCUGAUCGCACGGUCUCCGUACCGGCGACGCAUCUUUCAAAUGUCUGCCUUAUCAACUGUCGAUGGUAGGUUCCAUGCCUACCAUGGUGGUAACGGGUAACGGGGAAUCAGGGUUCGAUUCCGGAGAGGGAGCCUGAGAAACGGCUACCACAUCCAAGGAAGGCAGCAGGCGCGCAAAUUACCCACUCCCGGAACGGGGAGGUAGUGACGAAAAAUAACGAUACGGGACUCAUCCGAGGCCCCGUAAUCGGAAUGAGAACACUUUAAAACCCUUUAAACGAGGAUCAUUGGAGGCANNNNNN
rnacentral:rRNA from 14 species